rnacentral:rRNA from 1 species
GACGAACGCUGGCGGCGUGCCUAAUACAUGCAAGUUGAGCGCUGAAGGUUGGUACUUGUCCCGACUGGAUGAGCAGCGAACGGGUGAGUAAUGCGUGGGGAAUCUGCCUUUGAGCGGGGGACAACAUUUGGAAACGAAUGAUAACACCGCAUAAAAACUUUAAACACAAGUUUUAUGUUUGAAAGAUCCAAUUGCAUCACUCAAAGAUGAUCCCGCGUUGUAUUAGCUAGUUGGUGAGGUAAAGGCUCACCAAGGCGAUGAUACAUAGCCGACCUUAGAGGGUUAUCGAGCACAUUGGGACUGAGACACGGCCCAACCUCCUACGGGAGGCAGCAGUAGGGAAUCUUCGGCAAUGGACGAAAGUCUGACCGAGCAACGCCGCGGGAGUGAAGGAGGUUUUCGGAUCGUAAAACUCUGUUGGUAGAGAAGAACGUUGGUGAGAGUAGAAAGCUCAUCAAGUGACGGUAACUACCCAGAAAGGGACGGCUAACUACGUG